rnacentral:rRNA from 1 species
GAUGAACGCUAGCGGCAGGCCUAACACAUGCAAGUCGAGGGGUAACUAGAGUGAUAGCAAUAUUACUUUGGCUAGACCGGCGCACGGGUGCGUAACACGUAUGCAACCUACCUUAUACUGGGGAAUAACUUCGAGAAAUCGGCGCUAAUACCCCAUAACAUUGCGAAGAGGCAUCUCUUUGCAAUUAAAGCUCCGGCGGUAUAAGAUGGGCAUGCGUCCAAUUAGCUAGUUGGUGAGGUAACGGCUCACCAAGGCUAUGAUUGGUAGGGGUUCUGAGAGGAUGAUCCCCCACACUGGUACUGAGACACGGACCAGACUCCUACGGGAGGCAGCAGUGAGGAAUAUUGCGCAAUGGACGAAAGUCUGACGCAGCCAUGCCGCGUGCAGGAUGACGGCCCUAUGGGUUGUAAACUGCUUUUGUACGGGAAUAAACCCUUCUACGUGUAGGAGGCUGAAGGUACCGUAAGAAUAAGCACCGGCUAACUCCGUGCCAGCAGCCGCGGUAAAAC